GCAAAGGGGGGAAACGGCUAAAAUAGUUCGUGUGCUCCAGCUUAGAGGUCGCGUCAGUUGCAAAGAAAUCUGUAAAUUUAAAGGAAUCUGUCACACAUUUUGCUAAAAGUAAAGAAGGUUCACUUAAAAAUAAUCGACGUGCGCACACUUCUCUUUUUAAUUCUUUGAUUUAUCAACAGCCGAUUAUUUUGCUGUCGUUGCGGUUUUUGGCGACAUUUUGUUUUAAUGUGUUUUAAAGACUUCAGAAAACGAUUUAACGUGAUUUUUUGGAUGUUUUUGUGAUCAAACAUUUCUACUUUUAUAUGGAUCUUUUAUUUGAAUCUAGUGUAUAGUGUGAAUGACAGUGUUUUAAUGAAGGAUGAAUCAACUUAAGGCAAAUUAAGAUAUUAAUCAAUCAAGGAUCACACAAACUUCUCUAAUAAGGGAAUUUCUUGAUGUUUAGGAGAUGAAGACCGUCCUUGGGGAUGAUAACGGUUCUUGGGAUGUAAUUGAAAAUUCCAUGUAGAUGAGUUAAAUAUAAUGUGCAGUAAUUAAUAGGUAUAUCAUAAUAAUAAAUAAAUUUAUUGUAGUUGCGAAGCUAGUAUUUUGUGAAAGCAGGGAGUUUAGGACUUGCUAUGGUUCAAGGUUUUCAAAUCCGUCAUGUCCCUCUAUGUCUUAAUCUUUUAUGUUGUUUUACACAAUGUUAUAACGCCUAUGCCUGUUAAAAAACAAGGUUUGUCCUUUUUGUGAUUGCUUAAGUUAGAAACUAAGCGAAAAAACGUAUUCUACAAGUAUCAUACAAGUUAAUCAAUAUUAAAGCCUACUAUUAUUAUAAAUUUAAAUGAUUACAUGGUAGUUUUAAUCAGUUAACUUCCAGUUAUAGUUAUGUAUAUCAGAUAUGUGGCUUGUAUUUACUUGUAAUUCUCUUGUGUUUGAGUAAUUUACUAAUAACUAUGAUGCAAUCGAGAUUACUUUUAAAAAAUUUGAAAACUUAUCAAAAAUUUUGACAUCAAACUGUUAAAGUACGUGUUAGGGCCGCUUUUACAAACGUCCGUAAACCUUAUAACCGCGAAUAAAUUUCGAAAAAUAGUUGUUUAAAUUUAGCCUUAAGGGACUUAAAAAUUGGACUAUUGUCAAAGGUUCCAAGCAAUUUUUUUUUAUUUUUUUGCUUUUCUGAACAGUCUGUAGACAAGUAAUUAAACCAACAAAACUGAUGUAUUUAUACAGACUGAUCUCGAAAUACUGUGUCUGUUAGCAAUCUGAAUUUAAAUUUUAAAGGAUACCAAUAGUGUACACUUUCAGGUAGCAAUUCAAUAAUUUAAUCUGAUGCCAACAUACUCAGUUUCUCUGGAUCAUUGUGUAUAUUUAGACAAUGUAUUUACAUAUAUUAUUACAUCUGAGUAUGUUUAUGAAGAACAAUUCGAGUUAAAUUAAUUUUGCCUAUACAUUCCAGCACGUUAUUAUUUUUUUAAUAAAUUUUUAUUGGAAAGAC